rnacentral:rRNA from 1 species
UACAGAGGGUGCGAGCGUUAAUCGGAAUUACUGGGCGUAAAGGGCGAGUAGGUUGUUUUUUAAGUUGGAUGUGAAAUGUCUGGGCUUAACCUGGAUUAGUCAUUCAAAACUGGAAGACUAGAGUACGGUAGAGGGUAGCGGAAUUUCCGGUGUAGCGGUGAAAUGCGUAGAUAUCGGAAGGAACAUCAGUGGCGAAGGCGGCUACCUGGACUGAUACUGACACUGAGUCGCGAAAGCGUGGGUAGCAAACAGG